UCACUGUCCCAGAGCUACUCCUCCGCGAGCGGCCCAAAGUAUUACUCUGCCCUCAGCUGGACAGAGAUCCUUCCAUGGAGACCAGCGGGGUGGGCUGGAAACCUGCAGUUUUUAUCAGCUCUCUAGUGUGGGGAAAGUACCGGUCUGGUUCCCGGGAUAGUCCUCCCCCAAUCCCGUCACUGAGAGUUCCUGCGACUGUUCCAACCCAGAGGCUUGGCAUCGGCUUUGUUUCCCCGGAAAAGAACAAAAUACAGGGUGUGGCAUGCAGGCUCCUGCGGGUGGGGCAGGCUGGGUCACCCAGGGUGCAUUUUUUUCUUUUCCUGUCCUGUGGCUGCUGGGAGCAGCUACUUCCUCUCAGGAAAAAUGGCCAUUUCGGUUUGGGGGCCGAUGAGCAAAUGUUCCUGGCUGCUGAUUUUCCAAGUCUCCCUGCAGUGCUUCCACCGCAGCAUCUCCUUAGGCACCUCAGUCCCUGUCUCCCUCCCUGCACCAAAGCCUUGGGUGAGUAGCUGCAAAUGAAAACUCUUGUGCUCUGGGUUAAAAAAAAACAAACAAAACAAAACAAAACAAACGAAAUGAAACUGCAGCUUUCUCUACAACCGGCUCCAGACUCCACCAGGCCAGCAGCCCUGCCCCCUUUCACUGCUGUAUGUUACGUGGGCUGCAGGUCUCCGCUCUGGUGCUCCGGGCUGUGGAGCCCAGCUGGGUUCCCGUCUCUCUCUUCUGAGGAAACAGACGCUCCCAUAGCCAGGUGCUCCCUCCUCACUCUCGGCCCGCCUGCCCGCCCGCCUGCUGCCCCUGGAAGCUGGGUCCGCUCCUCCCAUGACCUCGCCCUUCCUACUGGUCUCCAGGUGUGUUCUGUCCUUCCUCAGCUGGACCUCAGUUGGUAAUUCCAGGCAAAUGUUCUCCAAUUUUGUUUUUCCAGUCUGGCCCUGGGAUGAGGUACGUGACAGGUCUGCCUAUUCAGCCACCUUUUUUGCUGCUAGCAUAAAUUAUUAUUAGCUGUUGUCCUCUUGCAAUUGUUUUCAGUGAUUUUUAAUGACCAUCAAUCUUCAAUCCUGGCUCUGUCCAGCCCUAACGUGUUGGCUUGUCUGAAGUUACACCACCUCGGAUCAAGCCCUGACUUCCUGGCUUACCAGCUGAGGAUGGUCCCCAAACUCUCCAAGCUUCCAUCUAUUCAUCUGAGAAAUGGGGAUAAGGAUUAUUAUGAUGAUCCAAUGCCAUAAUCCAAAGCAGAGUGAGUGAACCAUACGUUCUACACUAUCUACAGUAACAGAAGAAACUGCUGGAAGAAUAAUGGCCAAUGUCUCACUAAGAACCCUUAAAAACAGCCACUACCAAUUUAUUCACUGAAAGCUCUACAUGGGAGGAAAACAAGCCAAAUUAAUGAUGUGCUUACUGUCCCAUCCACAGGAACAGGACAUAAGGAACAGAUGACAUUAUUUUUCAUGAGCCAGGUGGUCAUUCUGUGAUGAGUUGAAUGUCAGUAAAAAAUUUUAACAAGGCAAGAGGGGGAAGGACACCAGCUUCCCAGGUGGAUCACUGGUCAGCAAGCUUUAGCAAGGCAAAGCCUGGACUCGCAUGCCAGAGAUUCUGCCAACAGCUCACAUAUUUCAGUGUACUCCACAUAUUUGAGGGCUCAGCAACCAAAGCAAAGCAGGGGGAAACAAUGAUGGUGGAAGCUGGCUUGGUUGAAAAAGUCCAAGGGCACAGUAGUUCUUUACCUCCAUAUCCAACCAAGAGAACAGUGCACUCCAUACCCAAGCAUUGUGCUGCAAUGACUCUAAGUGAGUGCUUUUAGCCUCAUGUCCCUAAUCUUCCAUCCAUCUGUCCUCAGGUGGUCAUCCUGUGAUGAAUUGAAUGUCAGCAAAAAAUUUUAACAAGGAUGGGGUCAAGGAUAGGUAACCAGGCAUAACUCCAAGUUUCCCACUCCCAGACAUGGGUGCGUCAAGGUCCUGAUUAGACCCUUGUAACUGUAAAUCAAAGACGUUUGUAGUUUCUGUGAAUAAAAGCUCACUGAGCACAAAGCUCGGGGCUGUUACAGGAGGGGCCUAUGGUAGACGCUGGCCAGCUCAAUAAAUCCUCGCUUGCUGUUUAAGACCUAAUUGGAGUCAGUGGUCUUAUUCUCGUGAAUGUUGGUCCACAACAAUCCCUUCCUAGACUUCAAGGACCUCUCAUGCAUUUUAUAAUUUUUCUGUGUUGUGUGACAAUUCUAAAUCUUCAGAGAUUAUCAUAAGGUACAACCCAAGCAAGAAUGUUUUGAUGAUAUAAGGGCACUCUAAAAUUUCAAAACACCAUUAAGAAUAAUAAUGGUAACUAUCUGGUAGGGACUAUUGAAGUACGGUACCUAUUUGCUUUGUUUAACAAUGGACAAGUUACUUUGAUUUUCUAAAUUGUAUAAGUCAUCCCAUUCGAUUGAAUGCCUUAUUGAUUGUAACAUGACUAUCCCAUUGAUUGUGAUCU